GUUUUGCAUUAAAAAAUGAACAUAAUUCGUUGCAUUCCACAUCAAAAUUAUCUACAUAUACCGGAUAAAAUUACCUGUGAAACAUAUUGAACUGAUAAAGUGUGUAUAAUUUAUUAUUUUAAUGGAUUCUAAAACUUCCUCAGGUAAGAUGAAAGAUAUAUACAGUUGUAAUCGUCUUUACUUGUUACAAUAAUCUUGUUGACAUUUUAAACUAAAAAUGGCCCAAAGUGUUGAAUAUAUAUCAGAUCAAGUUUUGUAUAUACAGAAUGGCUUAAAUUGAAAAUAUACUACAACAUUACUGGGCGGCUAAGUAAAUUCUCAUUUCCAUAGUUCAUACUACUCGUAACGACUGUAGGACAAAGAACUAGUAAAUAUUUAUAAAUAUACACUUAUUUUUCUUCAUUCUUUUGUGGUUUUGAUCAAGUCGGUUUUUUUUAAAUUAAUUUCAGACAUGUCCACUGUCGGAGACAAUUGAGUACUGUAAUAUGACAUCAAACACGACUGACUAUAUUGAUGAUGUCCCGUCUAAAGCAAAGGAUAAAAAGCUUGAGUGUAUAAGAGGU
rnacentral:lncRNA from 1 species